rnacentral:rRNA from 1 species
UACAGAGGGGGCAAGCGUUGUUCGGAAUUACUGGGCGUAAAGGGCGCGUAGGCGGCCUGUUAAGUCGAACGUGAAAUCCCCGGGCUCAACCCGGGAACUGCGUCCGAUACUGGCAGGCUUGAAUUCGGGAGAGGGAUGUGGAAUUCCAGGUGUAGCGGUGAAAAUGCGUAGAUAUCUGGAGGAACACCGGUGGCGAAGGCGGCAUCCUGGACCGAUAUUGACGCUGAUGCGCGAAAGCCAGGGGAGCAAACGGG